rnacentral:rRNA from 1 species
CCCGCUGAACUUAAGCAUAUCAAUAAGCGGAGGAAAAGAAACUAACAAGGAUUCCCUUAGUAACGGCGAGUGAAGCGGGAAAAGCUCAAAUUUAAAAUCUGUCUGGUUUCCAGACCGAGUUGUAGUUGAUAGAGACGUUUUCGGUGGGCUCCUGGGUAUAAGUCCUUUGGAACAGGGCAUCAUAGAGGGUGAGAAUCCCGUCUUUGACUCAGAGUUGCCUACUAUGUGAUACGUCUUCUAAGAGUCGGAUUGUUUGGGAAUGCAGUCCUAAAUGGGUGGUAAAUUUCAUCUAAAGCUAAAUAUUGGCGAGAGACCGAUAGCGAACAAGUACCGUGAGGGAAAGAUGAAAAGAACUUUGAAAAUAGAGUUAAACAGUACGUGAAAUUGUUGAAAGGGAAACGUUUGAAAUCAGUCAUGCGCACAAGUAAUCAGCUAAACUUUUGUUUAGUGCACUUGCUUGUGCGCAGGUCAGCGUCAAUUUUGAUUGCAGGAUAAAAAUCCUGGGAAUGUGGCUCUUCGGAGUGUUAUAGCCCAGGUUGAAUACUGUAGUUGGGAUUGAGGUCUGCAGCCAAUGCUUUUGCUGGCUUACCUGGUGCUGUGUUUGCGUUGUAAUUAGGACAGCUUGCUGACCUUGUUAUAAACAAAUACAAUCGUUAGGGAUGCACAAAUUGGCUUAGGUCGCUGACGUAAUGGUUUUAAAUGACCCGUCUUGAAACACGG